UCCCAGACUUUUUUUAAAGUCAUAUAACAUUAAGUGUUGAUAUUUAU
rfam:Mesocricetus auratus contig232925, whole genome shotgun sequence.